rnacentral:tRNA from 1 species
GGGCCCGUAGCUCAAGGGCAGAGCAGCGCCCUCAUAAGGCGCGGGUUCCAGGUUCGAGACCUGGCGGGCCCA